AUGAGGUUCCUAUGCUAUGCUGACAUGUGCUUCAAGGACAUGGAGCAGCAUUUUUUGCCUGCAGGCCUAGGAGGGGAAAGUGCAGAAAAUGCUUGCUGUUCUGGCCGGGAAGGGUUUGAGAAGGCAGACCGAGCCCCCUGGAGCAUUACAGCCUACCAUUCAGAGCCUGGACAAGAGCUUGGCCUUGCACUUUUACAGAUCGCUGCCUGUAGCGGAGCACAAAGGGAGCGGCGAGACUCCCACGUCUUUCAGCGAGAAGAAAGGAGGCAGCGGAGCAGACUAACGCGGGCUUGCGUCUGGUGGCCUGGCGGUACAAAGGCUGCCUUUAAAAGAGAAGCGCAGCGUUAUUUAAUGAGCUGUGAGAUGAGGAGGCGCUGCUGCUAACGCUCAGAUCCCGGGAUUCAUCGGCUAUUCAUUGUGCUUAAUGUACAUGUUUCUACACCGUGCAUUUAGGAGAUCCCAGAGAAGAAUCCAAAACGGCUG
rnacentral:lncRNA from 1 species